CAAUGCAGACCCUCUGGUUCUCGCGAAACAUCAGUAAACAUUGAGCCCCAUUUUUAUCGCCAAUUACGUACCAGCGGUGGAAACCGCGCUAAUGAUAUCCAUAAACAUUUUUACGUUAUUAAUAUUAUUAUUUUAUUAUUGAGCAGAUCCUCGAUAAAUUAGCGCACUAUAAAGUUUCGCGCUCAAAUUACUCGUCUCAAUUUUUUUUAAGAAAAAGGGUUAAAUGAGGAUAAUUAUUUGAAUAAUUUGACAUUUUUUACUGCCAAUGGUGGAAGUUAAAAAACAAUAAACAAAAAUAACUCUGCUACUCGUCAUUAUUUCUAUUAUCACUAUAACAAAAUAGAAGUGAAUAAAAUUUUCAUUAAUAACUUCAUUAAUAAAAGUGAAUUUAUUUUAGAAAUUCAUAAAUAAUCGGAAUAUUAAUGACCGUUUAAGUAAAGGAUGUCAACAUUAUUGAACCGCUGGGGAAUUUUCGGAUAAAUUUGACAGUAAUGUCCCCAUCACAACAUUAUCCCCCCCAAAAGAAGUCCAUCUCUACUUCAAUUAAAUCAUAAUAGUCCAAAAUAAUCCAUUUCUACUCCAGCGAAGGGGAUUCCCCCAAUUCAAUCGUUUCGAAAGCCGGAAAAAAUUCCCUUGAAUGGAUAACGGAUAUCAUCACUCAUCCAUUAUUUAGGUCAGCCCCGGAAAAAAAAUCCAACGACAUUGGUAGACAUUGCGCGGAGCAAUGAGUCCAGAAAUCUUGACGAAUUGAUUUUCCAGUGGAGUCCACCGAUGAACGAAAUUUCCUCUCCAUUGGCAACGCUUUUACGUAUUAUAUUCGUCUGGAAGACGUCGCCAUUACAGCGGAUGAUUAAUCGACUGGAUUCUCCGCUUUUCUCAUGAACAACCAAGCAUUUGAUAUUAUUUUUCAAUCCGCGCGGCACGUGCGAUAAAUGAACGUUUAUAUUAUUGAAAUGCCAUUGUUACCGGGAUAAUUGAGCACCGAUGUGCACGAAAAUGACGCUGAAGUAAUCGAUAAUCGGAACGUAUGGGAGAUAAAAAUCGAAGAAGCGCUCAUUCCAAUGCUAUUUGUAUUCAAUUUGAGAGAUGUUUGUUAUAAUUUUGUGGUAGGAAUUGAAUAAGAGAGCACGAUUCUUUGAUUAAAAUUCAUGAAUAAGACACGGGGGGAUACCGCGAUGUAUAUAAAAUACCUCUCGCGACUCUGAUUUAUGCGGAGUAUCGACCUGAUUUCAUUAUAACUCAGUCACGUUGGGGCUCAAUUCAACUUAAAUCAUUGAAUCGAGAUGCUUGGAGCCAAGACAAUUUUCGUAGUUUUCGCGCUGUUCGGAGUAAUGCAUAUCAUUUAUGCUGCUGAGGACGACAAAGAUGACUCGUCAGAGGGGGAACCCGGGUACUUGCAGCAGUUGUGGAGCGCUAUCGCAGGUUUCUUUAAAUCAUUGAUUGGGGUAGCGACACCACCGUUGAAACAGGCCGCGGAAGACAUAGCAAAGAAAGAAGCUGAGACAGUAGCAGAGGGCAUCGCAGAUAACAUCGCAGAUCGUGUUGUGGAGAGUGUCAUUUAAUGGUAAAAGGGCCCGAAAAUGCCCUUCCCCAAUCCCAACUUUUCUAUAUUUGUAAACUUGUACUGAGGUCUCUGUAAAAUCAAUAUCACAUUUUGUUAAUCACAAUUAUGCCUCAAUUGUUAACAACGAUUUGAAAUUUUAAUCGCAUGUGAAUUAUGUUUCGUUGUUCACGAGGAGGUCAGUUAUAAAAUGCAAAAGUUGUAAUUAAAAUUCAGUAAUGAUAA